rnacentral:lncRNA from 1 species
UCCUUGCACGACAGCUGGGGUUGGCACAAGGCCUUUGCAUGACUGCCCGCUUUGCACAGGGCGGGCUUGCACGAUGGCCUUGCACGAUGUGGGGUUUGCAUGGGGGCCUUGCACGAUGGCCGGGUUUGCACGGGGGGGUCCUUGCACGACAGCCGUGUUGGCACGAGGGGUCCUUGCACGACGGCCGGGUUGCACAAAGGGCAUUUGCAUGACUGCCAGCUUUGCACAGGGGGUCCUUGCACAAUGGCCGGGUUUGCAUGAGAGGUCCUUGCACAACAGCCAGGUUUGCACAGGGGAUCCUUGCACAACUGCUGGGUUUGCACAAGGGGCCUUUGCACGAGUGUGGGGUUUGCACUGGUGUGUCCUUGCACAACUGCUGGGUUUGCACAAGGGGCCCUGGCACUGGGCUGCUGUGUGCACAGGGAGUCCUGGCACAGCUGGGGGGUCUGCACGAGGGCUCCUUGCACGACUGUGGGGUUUGCGCAAGGGCUCCUGGCACUGGGCUGCUGUGGGCACAAGGGCUCCUUGCACAACUGCAGUGUUAGCACGGGGGCUCCUUGCACCAUUCUGCUGUUGGCACAGGGUGUCCCAGUGCGAUUUCAGUGCUCGCACAGGGCAAGCUUGCACAAGAAUGGUGUGUGAACACAGACUGCCUGCACAAGUGUGGUGUUUGCACAAGGGAUCUUCACAUGAUUCUGUCUUUGGCACAAGGAAUCCUUGCACAAAUUCAGUGUUUGCACGGGGCUCCUUGCACAAUCCUGCUGCUUGCACGGGGCACCCUUACGCAACUGUGUUGUUUGCACAGGGAUCCAUACAUGAUUCUCCACUUUGCACGGGGGGAUCUUGCACAACUCUGUUGCUUGCACGAGGGGCCUAUUGCUCAUGUCGCCAUUGCACCACCAUGGUGCUUGCACGAGGGUCUUUGCACAAUUAUGACGCUUGCACCAGAACCUCGCGCUGCUGUGGCAGCGGUACAGGUGCCCUCGCACAAUGACUGUGAUUGCACGAGGGCCGCUUGCACGGCGGUGCUGGUGACACGAGGCUCUUGCACGGCACCAAUUGCACCAAUCACAGCGGCUCCUUGCACAACCGCGCAGCUCACGCGGCCAUCCUUGCACCAGGGACCUUUGCACGAUUUUUCACGCUCGCACGGGGCGCCUGCAUGGGGGGGAGGGGCCUUGCACUGCU